CCAUGAAUUAUAAAAAUGAGGAAGAGCCUUU
rnacentral:piRNA from 1 species